rnacentral:lncRNA from 1 species
CUGAAAGCUUUAUUGAUGAAAGUGGGGUUCUGUUACGUCUUGGUCUGGUCGUAGAACACAAACGAAGAACGCGAAGUUGCAGCUAUGGUGAACUUGUAAUCUAAACAAAACCCAAGUCUAAACGAUGCCCUAAGGGCUGUAUAUAUGGGGGAAUAGAGGGAAUUUCGUGACCCCUUGGAGGAUGGGUCCUAAACAAACCCUUACCUUGUUUCCCCACACAUACGAACUCUAAAAACAACCUAUAAAGUGGUAUUUCCAAAUUACAUGGGUCUGGCCCAAAAAUAAGGUGAUGCAUCACCUAUAAUGGCUUAUUGACGAAAUUUAUGAAGUGGCAUCUUGUAUAUUUCUUCCCAACCUUCCUGCUCUCAUUAUGGUGGCUUCAAAGUGCGAAAAUCACCACGGGAAGCUCGAUUGUUCUUUCCUGUGCGCGCACUUUCUCCUCCAUGAUUGUUCCCACU